rnacentral:rRNA from 1 species
GAUGAACGCUGGCGGCGUGCCUAAUACAUGCAAGUCGAGCGAACGGACGAGAAUCUUGCUUUUCUGAUGUUAGCGGCGGACGGGUGAGUAACACGUGGAUAACCUACCUAUAAGACUGGGAUAACUUCGGGAAACCGGAGCUAAUACCGGAUAAUAUUUUGAACCGCAUGGUUCAAAAGUGAAAGACGGUCUUGCUGUCACUUAUAGAUGGAUCCGCGCUGCAUUAGCUAGUUGUUAAGGUAACGGCUUACCAAGGCAACGAUGCAUAGCCGACCUGAGAGGGUGAUCGGCCACACUGGAACUGAGACACGGUCCAGACUCCUACGGAAGGCAGCAGUAGGGAAUCUUCCGCAAUGGGCGAAAGCCUGACGGAGCAACGCCGCGUGAGUGAUGAAGGUCUUCGGAUCGUAAAACUCUGUUAUUAGGGAAGAACAUAUGUGUAAGUAACUGUGCACAUCUUGACGGUACCUAAUCAGAAAGCCACGGCUAACUACGUG